rnacentral:rRNA from 1 species
GAACCGAGUGAUCUAGCCAUGGCCAGGCUGAAGGUGCGGUAACACGCACUGGGAGGGCCGAACCCACGCCUGUUGAAAAAGUCGGGGAUGAGCUGUGGCUAGGGGUGAAAGGCCAAUCAAACUCGGAGAUAGCUGGUUCUCCGCGAAAUCUAUUGAGGUAGAUCGUCGUGUGUAUGCCUUCGGGGGUAGAGCACUGGAUGGGCUAGGGGGGCCCAAAGCCUUACCAAACCUAACCAAACUCCGAAUACCGAAGUGUCUUGCACGGCAGACAGACGGUGGGUGCUAAGGUCCAUCGUUGAGAGGGAAACAGCCCAGACCACCAGCUAAGGUCCCCAAAUUGUGGCUAAGUGGAAAAGGAUGUGGGAAUUCCAAAACAACCAGGAGGUUGGCUUAGAAGCAGCCAUCCUUUAAAGAAAGCGUAAUAGCUCACUGGUCUAAUAGAAAUCCUGCGCCGAAAAUGUAACGGGGCUAAAGCCACAUACCGAAGCUGUGGGUGCAUGGAAACAUGCGCGGUAGCGGAGCGUUCCGUAGGCCUGUGAAGGGAGAUGGGGUGACCCCUCCUGGAGGUAUCGGAAGUGCGAAUGCUGACAUGAGUAGCGACAAACAGAGUGAGAAACUCUGUCGCCGAAAGUCCAAGGGUUCCUGCGCAAGGUUAAUCCGCGCAGGGUGAGCCGGCCCCUAAGCGAGGGCGAAACCGUAGUCGAUGGGAAGGGGGUGAAUAUUCCUCCGCCUGCUGGAAGUGACGAAUGCGAGAUGUUGUCUGUCCUUAUCGGAUUGGGCAGGCUUUUUGAGCAUUCCGGGAAA